CCUACGGGAGGCAGCAGUGAGGAAUAUUGGUCAAUGGACGAGAGUCUGAACCAGCCAAGUAGCGUGAAGGAUGACUGCCCUAUGGGUUGUAAACUUCUUUUAUAUGGGAAUAAAACGUUCCACGUGUGGGAUUUUGUAUGUACCAUAUGAAUAAGGAUUGGCUAACUCCGUGCCAGCAGCCGCGGUAAUACGGAGGAUCCGAGCGUUAUCCGGAUUUAUUGGGUUUAAAGGGAGCGUAGGUGGAUUGUUAAGUCAGUUGUGAAAGUUUGCGGCUCAACCGUAAAAUUGCAGUUGAAACUGGCAGUCUUGAGUACAGGAGAGGUGGGCGGAAUGCGUGGUGUAGCGGUGAAAUGCUUAGAUAUCACGAAGAACUCCGAUUGCGAAGGCAGUUCACUGGACUGCAACUGACACUGAGGCUCGAAAGUGUGGGUAUCAAACAGGAUUAGAUACCCCUGUAGUC
rnacentral:rRNA from 1 species